rnacentral:lncRNA from 1 species
ACAGGUUCUCACACACCUCCAUCACAUUCAGGAGGUGGCCAUGGAACAUCACCUUCUCACGGAACACCUUCGCAUGGAGGCGGUAGCCAUGGAGGAACACCACCUGCAAACUGUGGUAAUCCCGCCCCUAGUGGCGGGCAUCACCACAACCCUACCCCAUCGCCUCCUUCAGGAGGCCAUGGAGGUGGUGGUUACUAUCCCUCCCCUCCAUCUCAUAGUGGAAGCCCUCCAAGUACUCCUACACCUACACCUAGUACCCCCAGUACACCAUCCACCCCCUCCACACCUACUAUUGUCACCCCGCCUACACCUCCUACCAUUGACCCUGGCACUCCAAGCACUCCAGGGGGUGGUUACUAUGGUGGAAGUCCUCCAAGUAUUCCUACACCUAGUACCCCUAGUAUUACACCCACUACCCCUUCUACACCUAUCAUUGAAACACCACCAACUACUCCUGUCGUUGAAACACCACCAACUACUCCUACUAUUGAUCCAGGCACUCCAAGUGCUCCAGGAGUCUUUCCAAUUGACCCCAACUCACCACCUUUUACAUGCGAGUAAGUCAAGUGAAAAUUAUUUGCUGUUUCAUUUUAUAUUACAGUAUUUGACUAGACAUACAGUUUAAUAAAGAAAAAGAAUUUUUUAACGCAUACCUAAUGUACCUAAUGAGAACUUGUCCUAACAUGAAAUGUUAUGAAUUGCAGC